ACUCAAAGGAAUUGACGGGGGCCCGCACAAGCAGUGGAGUAUGUGGUUUAAUUCGAAGCAACGCGAAGAACCUUACCAGAGCUUGACAUCCCUGGAAAGCGCUUGAGAGAGCGCCGUGCCUUCGGGAAUCAGGUGACAGGUGGUGCAUGGUUGUCGUCAGCUCGUGUCGUGAGAUGUUGGGUUAAGUCCCGCAACGAGCGCAACCCUUAUUGUUAGUUGCCAGCAUUUAGUUGGGCACUCUAGCGAGACUGCCGUUGACAAAACGGAGGAAGGUGGGGACGACGUCAAAUCAUCAUGCCCCUUAUGUUCUGGGCUACACACGUACUACAAUGGCUGUAAACAGAGGGAAGCCAAGCCGCGAGGCGGAGCCAAUCCCCAAAAGCAGCCCCAGUUCGGAUUGCAGGCUGAAACUCGCCUGCAUGAAGUUGGAAUUGCUAGUAAUCGCGGAUCAGCAUGCCGCGGUGAAUACGUUCCCGGGCCUUGUACACACCGCCCGU
rnacentral:rRNA from 1 species